rnacentral:rRNA from 1 species
GACGAACGCUGGCGGCGUGCUUAACACAUGCAAGUCGAACGGAAAGGCCCUGCUUUUGUGGGGUGCUCGAGUGGCGAACGGGUGAGUAACACGUGAGUAACCUGCCCUUGACUUUGGGAUAACUUCAGGAAACUGGGGCUAAUACCGGAUAGGAGCUCCUGCUGCAUGGUGGGGGUUGGAAAGUUUCGGCGGUUGGGGAUGGACUCGCGGCUUAUCAGCUUGUUGGUGGGGUAGUGGCUUACCAAGGCUUUGACGGGUAGCCGGCCUGAGAGGGUGACCGGCCACAUUGGGACCGAGAUACGGCCCAGACUCCUACGGGAGGCAGCAGUGGGAAUAUUGCACAAUGGGCGGAAGCCUGAUGCAGCAACGCCGCGUGCGGGAUGACGGCCUUCGGGUUGUAAACCGCUUUCGCCUGUGACGAAGCGUGAGUGACGGUAAUGGGUAAAGAAGCACCGGCUAACUACGUG